AUUUAAACACAGGAGAGAGUGUGGAAGCACAGGUGGGGGGCAUUAAGCUGAUUGGGAACCUGCUGACAAAAACUGUCUCUGGGGUGCAGAUCCUGCUGUGAAGCUUCAAACGUCUAACUGAGCUCAGGGAAAGGCCAGAGAGGAGCAAUUCACUAAAUGUUUUGAUGCAACCCACGGCUGCUGUGCUGGGAGCUGGCUGCAUGAAAAAAGCCCACACGUACCCCGGCACGUUGGGGAUGAUCAGGGUCCUAGUGGAGUGUCAGCGCGUGUCAGAGGGCUGUUUACCAACCAUGACGGAUGGGAGUGGGGUCACUGGAGAGACAAAUACUAUCCAACGGCACCAGCCUAUUACAAACUCUCCCCAUUCUGUGACUGCACUGCCACUUCCUUCUAGGAUUUCAUUCAACCUUGCAACUGGUUGGAUUUGCAUAGGAUUUUACUGUGCUACUCAUGUGUUUUUUAUGGAUUUCUUUGAUUUUUAAAUUGUAAAUAAUAUUUGUU